rnacentral:rRNA from 1 species
GUGGGGAAUUUUGGACAAUGGGCGCAAGCCUGAUCCAGCAAUGCCGCGUGCAGGAAGAAGGCCUUCGGGUUGUAAACUGCUUUUGUACGGAACGAAACGGUCCUGGCUAAUAUCCGGGGCUAAUGACGGUACCGUAAGAAUAAGCACCGGCUAACUACGUGCCAGCAGCCGCGGUAAUACGUAGGGUGCGAGCGUUAAUCGGAAUUACUGGGCGUAAAGCGUGCGCAGGCGGUGCUGUAAGACAGGCGUGAAAUCCCCGGGCUCAACCUGGGAAUUGCGCUUGUGACUGCAAGGCUGGAGUGCGGCAGAGGGGGAUGGAAUUCCGCGUGUAGCAGUGAAAUGCGUAGAUAUGCGGAGGAACACCGAUGGCGAAGGCAAUCCCCUGGGCCUGCACUGACGCUCAUGCACGAAAGCGUGGGGAGCAAACAGGAUUAGAAACCCUGGUAGUCC